CGUUAAAACACCGGUACCUGUAUGAUCACCGGAGUUAAGCAACAUCAAGCUUGGUCAGUACGUAGAUGGGCAACCGUUUUGGAAUAUCAAGUGCUGCGAG